rnacentral:rRNA from 1 species
GACGAACGCUGGCGGUGUGCUUAACACAUGCAAGUCGAACGGUAAGGCCCUUUCGGGGGUACACGAGUGGCGAACGGGUGAGUAACGCGUGAGUAACCUGCCCUCAUCUCUGGGAUAACAGUCGGAAACGGUUGCUAAUACUGGAUAUGAGCUUGCAAGGCAUCUUGUGGGUUGGAAAGAUUUUUUUUGGUUGGGGAUGGACUCGCGGCCUAUCAGCUUGUUGGUGAGGUAGUGGCUCACCAAGGCUUCGACGGGUAGCCGGCCUGAGAGGGCGACCGGCCACAUUGGGACUGAGAGACGGCCCAAACUCCUACGGGAGGCAGCAGUGGGGAAUAUUGCACAAUGGACGGAAGUCUGAUGCAGCAACGCCGCGUGCGGGAUGACGGCCUUCGGGUUGUAAACCGCUUUCAAUUGUGACGAAGCUUUUUUGUGACGGUAGCAGUAGAAGAAGCACCGGCUAACUACGUG